AAGUCGUAACAAGGUUUCCGUAGGUGAACCUGCGGAAGGAUCAUUAUGGAGUUUCAUUUCACAAAUGAAUCAUCCCACCCUAUGUUUACCACUACUCUUAUUCUUUGGCGAGCCGUCUUUGGGUUUUCCCGAGCCACUGACAGUCAUGAAAUUGGCUGUGGGUGAGUUGCUCGCCAAAGGUUUUUAACACUUCACUAUUUUUACUGUGGUCUGAGUUUACAAACAAAAUAAAUCAAAACUUUCAACAACGGAUCUCUUGGUUCUG
rnacentral:misc_RNA from 1 species